UCUAGUUAGGAAUCAUGAUCUUU
rnacentral:snRNA from 1 species